UAAUACAGAGGGUGCAAGCGUUAAUCGGAAUUACUGGGCGUAAAGCGCGCGUAGGUGGUUCAGUAAGAUGGAAGUGAAAUCCCCGGGCUUAACCUGGGAACUGCUUUCAUAACUGCUGAGCUAGAGUACGGUAGAGGGUAGUGGAAUUUCCUGUGUAGCGGUGAAAUGCGUAGAUAUAGGAAGGAACACCAGUGGCGAAGGCGACUACCUGGACUGAUACUGACACUGAGGUGCGAAAGCGUGGGGAGCAAACAGG
rnacentral:rRNA from 1 species